UACGAAGGGGGCUAGCGUUGCUCGGAAUACUGGGCGUAAAGCGUGCGCAGGCGGUUAUGUAAGACAGUUGUGAAAUCCCCGGGCUCAACCUGGGAACUGCAUCUGUGACUGCAUAGCUAGAGUACGGUAGAGGGGGAUGGAAUUCCGCGUGUAGCAGUGAAAUGCGUAGAGAUGUGGAGGAACACCGAUGGCGAAGGCAGCCCCCUGGGUCAAGACUGACGCUCGAUGCACGAAAGCGUGGGGAGCAAACAGG
rnacentral:rRNA from 1 species